rnacentral:rRNA from 1 species
UCAAAUCAGGUAGGGGUUACCCGCUGAACUUGGGCAUAUCAAUAAAGCGGAGGAAAAGAAACACAACUGGGAUUGCCUUAGUAACGGCGAGUGAAGCGGCAAAAGCUCAAAUUUGAAAUCUGGUACCUUUGGUGCCCGAGUUGUAAUUUGGAGAGUACCACUUUGGGACUGUACUUUGCCUAUGUUCUUGGAACAGGACGUCAUGGAGGGUGAGAAUCCCGUGUGGCGAGGGUGUCAGUUCUUUGUAAAGGGUGCUCGAAGAGUCGAGUUGUUUGGGAAUGCAGCUCUAAGUGGGUGGUAAAUUCCAUCUAAAGCUAAAUACAGGCGAGAGACCGAUAGCGAACAAGUACAGUGAUGGAAAGAUGAAAAGAACUUUGAAAAGAGAGUGAAAAAGUACGUGAAAUUGUUGAAAGGGAAGGGCAUUUGAUCAGACAUGGUGUUUUGCGCCCCUUGCCUCUCGUGGGCUUGGGACUCUCGCAGCUCACUGGGCCAGCAUCGGUUUUGGCGGCCGGAAAAAACCUAGGGAAUGUGGCUCUGCGCCUCGGUGUAGAGUGUUAUAGCCCUGGGGAAUACGGCCAGCCGGGACCGAGGACUGCGAUACUUGUUAUCUAGGAUGCUGGCAUAAUGG